rnacentral:sRNA from 1 species
GGAAUGUUGACGUCUUAAGUCGAGGAGGUAUAAAGAAGCUGUGCUAAAGCUAGACUAUUUGAUCUAUGUUUGUGAUGUCCUGGCACUCCUGAGUCCACAUAACUCUAAUGUUUACCUGUAUUUAGAUGAGUAAAGGCAAUGGGCCGUUGUGCUGGCCACAUGACACCCUGCUCGUUAACCGUUGACCAAAGAAACAGAUGACCUUACACCUCAUCUGCCCUAUAGAUCGCAAGGUAUGAAAGGGGAAAGAAACAUCCUUACUUGCCAGCCGUCCAAGUAGUAUGCUGGAUGAUUUUGUUUUCAUUUAGAAAGUUCCACCCACGAAGUUAUGACUUGAAUAGAGGUAUUGUAAAAAGGAAAAGAAAUGCCGCCAAUUGACAGAGAAGAACUGGAAAUAAUUGUUUCUUCCCGAAACACUAACAAAUGAGGCAUUAGUAUCCAAGGUGCAGAUGAUGUAAAGCUGG